rnacentral:tRNA from 2 species
GGAGCCGUAGCUCAAUUUGGUUAGAGCGCUUCCCUGUCACGGAAGAGGUUGCGGGUUCAAGUCCCGUCGGUUCCG